rnacentral:rRNA from 1 species
CCUACGGGAGGCAGCAGUGGGGAAUAUUGGGCAAUGGAGGAAACUCUGACCCAGCAACGCCGCGUGAAUGAUGAAGGUCCUCGGAUUGUAAAGUUCUUUUCUAAGGGAAGAAGAAAGUGACGGUACCUUAGGAAUAAGCCUCGGCGAACUACGUGCCAGCAGCCGCGGUAAUACGUAGGAGGCGAGCGUUAUCCGGAAUGACUGGGCGUAAAGGGGGCGUAGGUGGUUUGGCAAGUUAGUAGCGAAACUCCAAGGCUCAACCUUGGAACUACUACUGAAACUGUUUGACUUGAGUGCAGGAGGGGCAACCGGAAUUCCUAGUGUAGCGGUGGAAUGCGUAGAUAUUAGGAGGAACACCAGUGGCGAAGGCGGGUUGCUGGACUGUAACUGACACUGAGGCACGAAAGCGUGGGGAGCAAACAGGAUUAGAUACCCUUGUAGUC